rnacentral:tRNA from 1 species
GGAGGGGUUCCCGAGCGGCCAAAGGGAUCAGACUGUAAAUCUGACGUCUACGACUUCGAAGGUUUCGAAUCCUUCCCCCUCCACCA